UGGGGAAUUUUGGACAAUGGGCGCAAGCCUGAUCCAGCAAUGCCGCGUGCAGGAUGAAGGCCUUCGGGUUGUAAACUGCUUUUGUACGGAGCGAAAAGGUCUGCUCUAAUACGGUGGGCUCAUGACGGUACCGUAAGAAUAAGCACCGGCUAACUACGUGCCAGCAGCCGCGGUAAUACGUAGGGUGCGAGCGUUAAUCGGAAUUACUGGGCGUAAAGCGUGCGCAGGCGGUUAUAUAAGACAGAUGUGAAAUCCCCGGGCUUAACCUGGGAAGUGCAUUUGUAACUGCAAGGCUAGAGUGCGGCAGAGGGUGAUGGAAUUCCUCGUGGAGCAGUGAAAUGCGUAGAUAUGCGGAGGAACACCGAUGGCGAAGGCAAUCCCCUGGGCCUGAACUGACGCUCAUGCACGAAAGCAUGGGGAGCAAACA
rnacentral:rRNA from 1 species